rnacentral:rRNA from 1 species
UCGCGUGUGGAACUUCCCGCGCACCCCUGGAAAUACACGUACCCAGCUGAAUUUGCAUGUGAACUUCCCGCACACCCCUGAUGCACACGUACACAGGACAAUCGCGUGUGGGACUUUCCCGCGAACCACUGAAAUACACGGCUCCCCGCUUGGCGUUUGCUGUUUGCCAGCCCUGUGAACUGGUCCAGGGUUGGCGCAGCCCUUUGCGAUUAUUUGGGGAUUUUGAGGGCUUUUCCUUGCGCGAGGGCGUUCUUGGGGGCAUAACUGGCGCUGCUGCAGGGUCGCUGCGCCACGGCUGGUUUUGGAUGCUGAAAAUCCAUGAAUAUGCUGUGCGCGGAAAUCGGUUUUGGCGCACGCGGCUGGCGCAGACAUUCCACGGCAUGCUGGGCGCCAGUCGCGUGCGCCACUUUUGUGCGAUUUUCUAUGAAUUACCCUGCUAGUCUUGACCGCCUGCUAUAGCUACCCUGAUUAGUCUGGCUUGUCCAGAGGUUACCCUGUUCCAAGAAACUAGACUGGCCUUCUGAACCUCUGCCCACCAGGUCAGAGUUUGGAAAUCCAUCUUAACAGCGAUCCGGUGGCGUUAUUCCCAUGUCCCGCGAGCAGCUUUGCAACCAUACGCCCAGGGGAGUAUGGUUGCAAAGCUGAAACUUAAAGGAAUUGACUGAAGGGCACCACCAGGAGUGGAGCCUGCGACUUAAUUUGACUCAACACGGGGAAACCUCAACCGGCCCGGACACGGAAAGGAUUGACAGAUUGAUAGCUCUUUCUCGAUUCUGUGGGUGGUGGUGCAUGGCCGUUCUUAGUUGGUGGAGCGAUUUGUCUGGUUAAUUCCGAUAACGAACGAGACUCCUCCAUGCUAACUAGUUACGUGACCCCUGCGGUCGGCGUUCAACUUCUUAGAGGAAAAGUGGCGUUCAGCCACACGAGAUUGAGCAAUAACAGGUCUAUGAUGCCCUUAAAUGUCCGGUGUUGCACGCGUGCUACACUGAAUGGAUCAGCGUGUGUCUACCCUUCGCCGACAGGUGCGGGUAACCCGCUGAACCCCGUUCGUGAUAGGGAUUGGGGAUUGCAAUUAUUUCCCAUGAACGAGGAAUUCCCAGUAAGUGCGGGUCAUAAGCUCGCGUUGAUUAAAUCCCUGCCCUUUGUACACACCGCCCGUCACUACUACCGAUUGGAUGGUUUAGUGAGGUCCUCGGAUCGGCCCCGCCGGGGUCGGCAACGGCCCUGGCAGAGCGCGAGAAGGUGAUCAAACUUGACUAUUCUAGAGGAAGUAAAAGUUGUAACAAGGUUUCUGUAGGUGAACGUGCAGAAG